AAUCUUCAGAACAAAGGUAUUAAGCAAUUUUGUUCAAAUUUCUGUACUGUUGUUUUUAUUAUAUUUUUUCUAAUAUGACGACCACAAGUGAAAGGUUAGUGCAAUUCAAAUUGAAUUUAAAUUCAGUUUUAUUUAAAUGCAUGGGAAAUGUAUAAGUAAUGCAAAUACAUAUUGUAUUAGGAUAUUACAGAGUCAAUUAUGAUGAAAAAACAUAGGAGCUCAUUGCAGCAGAUUUAUUGGGUGAUAAUCAUGGUCAGAUUCACCCUAUGAACCGGGCACAAAUAAUAAAUGAUGCUAUAUUUUUGGUCGAUUUCAAAGGUCUGAACUGCACAAUCUUUUUAAAUCUCUCGAAAUAUCUUAAAAAUGAGCUUCACCACACUCCACUCAAAAGUGGUCUUAGAUUCAUUGAAGGAUUAAUUCAUCUUUCAAUGGGAACAUCCGUUCACAAUGAUCUCAAAAAAUACUACAAAUUCAUUGUAUCCAAUGUGUACAAAAGAGUUGGGUCCAAAGAUGAACGAAGAAGUCAAAAUGCUAAUUGUUAAAUAUGACAGCUAAAACUCUUCUUGAUGAUAACAUGGAAAACAAAAUGGAUGUAAACCAGUAUGCGCUACUGAAUGUUAAAACCUGAGUUGAGGGAAACAUUUUGGUGCAUUGCUGCUAAACUAUGAGAUGAAAAGGUGUGUAACUUCAUUAAACAGAAAUAUAUUGAAGAAAAACAAUGGAAAAUAAAGCAAGAUUAUUUGGAUGGUCUUUGUUGUGUUAAAGACAAAAUGCUAUUUAAUAGGUAAUUUAGAAAUGUCUAUUUAUCACUAAAAUUUAACAUACUCAACUAAAGUAGAAAAUAAUGUUUGAAAUUAAAUAACAAAAUCAAUUUCAGCUUCUUGAAUGAUAUUGUGGAUAAAGCAGACUACUUAAAAAAUGGGCCAUAUUUUAUUCAUUUACUUUCUAAACUUAUUUCCAAAGACACUUCAUGUUAUAUUGUAGAUUAUUACAUUGACAACUUUGACAAUCUUAGUUUGAAGUUUGUAGAUUUUAUUAUUAAUAGGUUCAUCUAGUAGAAACAAUAAUGCUUUUCUGUAACAAGGAAGCAACUUGAAAAUAUUAUAUAUACAAGUACUAAAACUGUAAUGUGUAGAUAUAACUAGAUAUAUAAUUUUUAAAAUGUGUUUGUAUUAAUUGCAGUUGGCUCAAUUCAUCAACCUUACCUAUUUCAAACAAUUCUUUCCAAAAGAAGUUAUAAAAAACUUCUGGGAUGAAAAUGAUGUGGCUAAAAUUAGUGCCUGCUUUGAGAAUGCAGCCAUAAAUUUUGAUAUCAAGGAAGAUGAUACCAUUAUUAAUGACAAAAAUAUAUUUAUUAAUGAUCAUUUCAAUUUCUUCAAGGUAGUGAAGUAAAUUCUUGUUUCUAUAC